ACUUCUAUUAUUCUCAGAGUUAUUUGUAUUCACCCCUUGAUUCACUACAAAAAUAUGGAGCAUUUGUAGCGCCCGAAAAACGCUAUUUAAUUAUACUAUAGCGUUAUUAGAAGCGCUCUAUCAUCGUCCGUCAUAAUAUGUCGGAGACAUAUUGUAGCGCUUUUUUGUUCCGCUAUCAUUAUUUAAUAGCGAUUAGUUUCUGAUAUAAAUAA
rnacentral:sRNA from 1 species